CCUCCACCCUGCAGGCCCGCACUGGGGGCGCGGUGUCCCACCAGCAGGGACAAGGCUGGGGUGGUAGUCAAACCGGGUCCUACAGCAAGAGGGCAUCCAAAAGACACAGAAAUAAGGGUAAUGGUGGUUAUUGUGUAGCACGCACCGCUGUGGGCCAGACCCUGUUCCUCCUCUGCGUGCCUGGGCAUGGUCCUGGGCUUGGUUCCUUGGUGCUUGCGACAACCCUGUCCGGUGGAUCGCGGUAGAUUCACUCCAGAUUUGAGCGCUGGUGCUGUGCAGGCAGGAUGCUUUUGGAAUAAGCAGCAUAAAAGGGAUGAAACCCCUGCUGCCGUGGAGUUUACACCCUCCUGGGGGAGCCAGACAAGCAAGCAAGAAUAUGCGGCCCUGUCGGAAACGAUGAAGACUGAAGAAGGGAGGAGCCGCUGGAGGUUCUGAGUAGAACAUGACUCCGUCUGACCUCCGGGGAGGAGCAGAGAGGCCAAAGAGGAGGUGACUGCGGCCAUGCAGGUGGAGGCGAUAGCACGCGGAGCAGGAAGGACAGAGAGAAGGUGAUGUGCACGUGGAGGGUACCAACCAGUGGCAGCUGAGCAGAGAGCUGGGGAAGAGGCCCAGCACCAGCUCUCCCACGGGCCUCGGAAGGAACCAGCAGGUGGCCC